UCACUUUGACGCAGCCCGUGUAAUAUUCAUUUGUGCGCAAUCAGCUGUGUCAGGCGGAGUGGGCUCAACAGUAUCGGCUGUACAACUGCAGCUUCCCGUUCCCGUAUCAACCCGAACAAGCGCCAGUUCCUCUGCAUGCCCCGCAGCCGGAGAAGAGAGCGCCGCCGGACUCGGACUACACUCGAUGGGGGCGUGGAGGAAACGUGUCGGUACCUGCGGGCAGAGGGUCUGCAGGAGUGGGAGAAAACGUUCAGAGAACAAAACAUAACUGGUGUGGGCCUGAGGUACCUCGAUGACGCGCGUCUGCAGGGGAUUGGAGUAAAGCUCCUCGGUGACCGUCUGCGGAUCCUGCACAGUACCAGGAAGCUGUGGCAGAUAGCGGCAGAGCCAGGCAAGGUCUUUAAUGAUCCGAUCCACGGGCAUUUGGAGUUGCACCCACUUCUCAUCAGAAUCAUUGACACACCUCAAUUCCAGAGACUGCGAAACAUCAAGCAGCUGGGAGGGGUCUACUUUGUCUUCCCCGGAGCAUCCCACAACCGCUUUGAACACAGCAUCGGGGUUGGUCACUUGGCAGGACAACUUGUAAAGGCUCUAAAUGACAGGCAGCCAGAACUCCUCAUCUCUCCCAGAGACAUCCUCUGCGUGCAGAUCGCUGGGCUCUGCCAUGACCUGGGACAUGGGCCGUUUUCCCAUAUGUUUGAUCAGAGGUUCAUUCCUCAAGCACGUCCUGGUCUAACCUGGAAGCAUGAGCAGGCCUCUUUGGACAUGUUCGAUUACCUGGUUGAGGACAACAAGUUGAAGCCGGUGAUGGAGCAGCACGGCCUGGUGCUGCCUGAGGACCUGGAUUUCAUCAAGGAGCAGAUUGCUGGACCAUUGGACAAUAAUGGAGCUGAAGCUGAGGGGUGGCGUUACAAAGGCCGCCAAGGGGCCAAGUCCUUUCUCUAUGAGAUUGUUGCCAACAAAAGAAAUGGCAUUGAUGUGGAUAAGUGGGACUACUUUGCGAGGGACUGCUACCACCUGGGCAUCAAGAACAACUUUGAUUAUCAGCGCUGCCUUAUGUUCGCCAGGGUGUGUGAGGUGGAUGGGCAGAAGCAAAUCUGUACCAGAGACAAAGAGGUGGGCAAUCUGUAUGACAUGUUCCACACAAGGAACUGCCUCCACACAAGAGCCUACCAGCACAGUGUUUGUAACAUCAUAGAGAUCAUGAUCACUGAGGCCUUUCUAAAAGCAGAUCCACACAUCCAGAUUAAAGGCUCAGGAGGGAAGAUGUUCACUCUCUCCACGGCCAUAGACGACAUGGAGGCCUACACCAAACUGACAGAUCAUGUGUUUGAACAAAUACUCCACUCGUCCUCCGAGGAGCUGGCUGAGUCGCAGAAGAUUCUACAAGACAUUGUCUGUCGACGCCUCUACAAGUGUCUGGGCCAAACCAAUCCACAAGAACAUCUGGAGGUUACCCCGGAGGCGAUUAAAGGCUGGGAAAAAGAAUUGGCAGAGUCCACUCCUCAGAGUGUCCAGGGUGUCCCGGUUGUCAAACUGCAGCCAGAAGACUUUAAAGUUGACGUCUUUUCUCUGAACUAUGGGAUGAAGAAGGAGAACCCCAUCAACAAAGUGCGAUUCUAUUGCAAAACUGACCCAACUAAAGCCUUCCAGAUAAGCGAUGACCAGGUGUCAAAAAUGCUUCCAGCGGUGUUUGACGAGCAGGUGAUCCGAGUCUACUGCAAGAAGAGGGAUGGAAAGACUGUGGAGGCCGCCAAGAAGCAUUUUGUUCAGUGGUGCAAAAAGAAAUCAUUCUCAACGCCAACGUUAACUGCCUCCUGCCCCAGUGAUGCUCCAAAGACUUGAAGUGAUACACAGUAAUGCCCACUGCAGAGGAAAGGUUCUCCUCUUCAUGAGGUAGCAUACAGUUCGUGCACUGCGAUUCUGUCUAUCUCAGCAGUGGGCAGAGUUGGGCUCAGACCUGAAGUAACAGAGAGGAUGUGUGUCUCGGGUUCGCAGCUUGUUCCCACUGCCCCCUAGUGGCCAAACAACUCAGGACGCAGACAUCACAGCGCCGGUGUUGACCCCUGUGACCCCGACAAUGGAGGCUCCGGUGACAUAGCUGGUGAGAGCCACAUGAAGACUUUAAAAUAAGAGGAGAGCGAACACCCCUCUUACACUUUCAGUAGAUGAAAGUGUUGUCAGCAUUAUAUUGUUACAAGCUACAGAAAGGGAGAAAAAAAGGCUCAGGGACUAUCCUCAGGGUUCUUAAACAAAAUUGACCCCUCGUCAAUAUUAUAAGCACAAUUUAGCUUUUGUUUUCUCGUCGGAUUCAGGGAUUUAUUUUGGACUUACGUCGGGCUGCAAGUGUCGAGUUUUUAAGUUGAAUUGUUUUUACACCCUGUGCUAAGCAGCAGCCUAUCAUGUCUUUGAAUCGUGGCCAAUUAAUCAUUGCAGCGGAAUGUUUUACUCUCAAACAGUAGAUGAACAACACAGUGUGUUUCAUGUCAGUGUGUUUUACAGCAUAUACAGCCAGUGUGUUAUUCAACUUUCACAUACGCAUGUUUUUUAAUAUCAAGCUUCAAAAGUUACAAUAUACAAAGAAAAACUGUUUCUGAGCUUUACACUGAGUGUUUGUUUUUACUUGAGGGAUUAUUUGCAGAUUUUAUUUGAUCUUAAUGCAAAUAUAUUUAUACUUGGGAGGGUGGAGGGGCGAGCAUGUUUUGCAAUCCUUUUAUUUAUUGUUCUUGCAGUAAGUUGCACAGCUUGUUGUCUCCACCUCACUAGCAUGUGCAAUAUUUAAAAUGGGAUUUAUGCUGCUUUGUCAGAAAACCUAUAUUUUGAAAGAAUGUGAGGGAAAAUGUUUUAAACGGUUUGUGGUGAUCCUGUGAGAGUUGAAGAAAAGUUUGAAAAUAAAACUCUGUUUUCGCUUG